CCUACGGGAGGCAGCAGUGAGGAAUAUUGGUCAAUGGACGAGAGUCUGAACCAGCCAAGUCGCGUGAAGGAUGACGGCCCUAUGGGUUGUAAACUUCUUUUGUAAGGGAGUAAAACGAGGCACGUGUGCCUUUUUGCAUGUACUUUAUGAAUAAGGAUCGGCUAACCCCGUUCCAGCCGCCCAGGUAAUUCGGAGGAUCCGAGCGUUUUACGGAUUUAUUGGGUUUAAAGGGAGCGUAGAUGGGUUGUUCAGUUCUGUGGGAAAGUUUGCGGCUCAACCGUAGAAUUGCAAUUGAUACUGGCAGUCUUGAGUGCAGUUGAGGUAAGCGGAAUUCGUGGUGUAGCGGUGAAAUGCUUAGAUAUCACGAAGAACCCCGAUUGCGAAGGCAGCUUACUAAACUGCGACUGACAUUGAUGCUCGAAAGUGUGGGUAUCAAACAGGAUUAGAUACCCCAGUAGUC
rnacentral:rRNA from 1 species